rnacentral:rRNA from 1 species
GCAAGCGUUACUCGGAAUUACUGGGCGUAAAGCGUGCGUAGGUGGUUUGUUAAGUCUGAUGUGAAAGCCCUGGGCUCAACCUGGGAAUGGCAUUGGAUACUGGCGAGCUAGAGUGCGGUAGAGGGUAGUGGAAUUCCCGGUGUAGCAGUGAAAUGCGUAGAGAUCGGGAGGAACAUCUGUGGCGAAGGCAGCCUUCUGGGCCAACACUGACGCUCAGGCACGAAAGCGUGGGGAGCAAACAGG